GGGCUGCAGCUUUCACGGUCUUUCAGCGCCUCACUCACCAGCAGCACGCAGCAAAAAUGUCCUCUCCAAUAUCCAUAAUGCCAAACAACAUGAACCAGUCAAUCUUCUGUACCGACGUGGUCUGCUAUCCUAUGCCUUUUGGGGGAUCCCUGUGUGAGGUGAAUGCAGGAUGAUGGCUGUGUCAGCUGCUGCAGAAUCUCCAGAGAUGACUGCUGCUGAAACACCACACUCUGCCAAGCAGUGGAACCACAGGAGUUAAUGCAUCCUGAUAAAGGAGCUCCAACAAGAGGACUGCUGCCCUCGGCAUCCAGUCAUUCUCCUGGGUUAAGCGUUGGGAGAGGAAACUUGAGAGAAGAUGUCCCAGCUGUGAUGUUCACUGUUGAGCAGUCUUUGGCCGACAGGUGACAAGCGGCACUGCGAAGGAGAUGGCUCAUUUUCCUGAUGGAAAAACAAAUGUGCUUUUUGUUUUUAUAUAUACUUUUUUCAUUUUAGUUUGCUGCGUCUGACUGGCAACAUUUGACAUGCACAUGGUAAAUCCAGGCAGAAUGUAUCAGCUGUACAUGAAAUGUAAAAUGGAAUCCUGAAAAUAAAACUAUUCGACUAAUC